rnacentral:rRNA from 1 species
UACGUAGGGGGCUAGCGUUAUUCGGAAUUACUGGGCGUAAAGGGCGCGUAGGCGGCCUUCUAAGUCGAACGUGAAAUCCCUGGGCUCAACCCAGGAACUGCGUCCGAUACUGGAAGGCUUGAAUCCGGGAGAGGGAUGCGGAAUUCCAGGUGUAGCGGUGAAAUGCGUAGAUAUCUGGAGGAACACCUAUGGCGAAGGCAGCUCGCUGGGACGUUACUGACGCUGAGACGCGAAAGCGUGGGGAGCAAACAGG